UUCAGAUGAGGCAGGAGGGCUAGCAUGAGCUCGAGUUGAGUAGGUCUCCCCUCCCACGUGGAGGACUGGAGCCAGCUCAUUAAGUAUUUCCCUCCCCCAGAAUCAGUUAGGCUUUGAUAAAUCCCCAGUAGAUGAUCUCUGGUUAAAUAGUUUCUCCUGGGAGCAGAUCUUGUUAGGAAAAAUGCUCAGGCGUAUUUCAAAAUGGUUCCUUUCCCCUCCUGCUGGAAGCCUGAUGUGGGUUUUUUCUCUGCUACUCACAGUGAGGAGAUGGUAGAGAUCCAGGAGCAAAACUCAAAGAAGUGUGGGUGGCCUCCCAGUGACUGGAUCCUUCUGGAGCUUUUAUCUCUUAGUCUUAUUCACAUGGAGUCUCCAGCAGUUUCUCAAUUACGGUUCAAGUUCUGUGUGCCAGUACUGGUUCCCGCAAAGGUUUCUGCUCAAGUGUACCCUACUGUUAUCAUGCUGGAGCCCUGUUGAUUUUAAGGGAUGGGAGUGAAGGCUUCCAAGAAUUUUAAAUGUCAUCCCUGAAACUGAACCUCUCCUAUAUUUUGAAAGAUGUCCAGUAAUCUAUUCUCCCUUCCUUCUGGUGGAGUGCUGAGGACACUGAAGCAAAAAGUUACUGAAGAAGGGAGUCAUUGUAAACUCUGGAGAAAGCCGAGCUGGGGCCCUAACACCCUCCAACAUGGACACCCCCAGAGACGGAGGCACGGAGGAGAGGAAGAGCGAGGUAAGCAAAGGAGAAUCAUUGUUACAACAUAGGAUGACCUGGCAUUAAAUAGGUGUUAGUCCUGUGGCCAUUCAGAAGGAUAUUCAGAAAGAUGACCAGAACUCAGGGCCCCAAAUUCCUAAAUUCCUUCCAGUUACUAAC